AAUCUUCCACAAUGGGCGCAAGCCUGAUGGAGCAACACCGCGUGAGUGAAGAAGGGUUUCGGCUCGUAAAGCUCCGUUGUUAAAGAAGAACACGUAUGAGAGUAACUGUUCAUACGUUGACGGUAUUUAACCAGAAAGUCACGGCUAACUACGUGCCAGCAGCCGCGGUAAUACGUAGGUGGCAAGCGUUAUCCGGAUUUAUUGGGCGUAAAGAGAGUGCAGGCGGUUUUCUUAAGUCUGAUGUGAAAGCCUUCGGCUUAACCGGAGAAGUGCAUCGGAAACUGGAUAACUUGAGUGCAGAAGAGGGUAGUGGAACUCCAUGUGUAGCGGUGGAAUGCGUAGAUAUAUGGAAGAACACCAGUGGCGAAGGCGGCUACCUGGUCUGCAACUGACGCUGAGACUCGAAAGCAUGGGUAGCGAACAGGAUUAGAUACCCUGGUAG
rnacentral:rRNA from 1 species